AAAGAAACAAAACUGAACUCAGGCCAAGACUGCAAACUUAACAAACCAAAUGACUGCCACAAACAAACAUAACUGACCUAAACAUGAAAUGACACACAGGGGUACAUGUAAUGGCUGAUCAGACCGUUGUGACACAUGAGGGGUAACAAACAAACACAAUCAUAAAUCACAAAACAAUGCAGUACAGUCUAGUUUGUUAAUAAACUAAACACUAAAGAAGAAAAUCAAAACCAUUAAACCCUAAACUCAAAUAUUUAAUUAAAUACAAAUACUUUGUUUUUAAAUUGAAGCAAACACACAUUCUCCCCUUCAGCAGGGAGUGGUGGUGUGGUCCAAUUAUCCCUCUUUGCAUUUAGUGGUUUCAAACCCUGGCUACCAUCUUUUGUCCAGCAACUCCCGGGGAUGAUGGCAGUGCCCCAAGCAGAUUAGGGCACAGCAGGCGUGAUGCCAACUCAUGCAGCUUCUCCUUAGAAGUCACUCAGCGCCCCGUCCGUGUAGACAAAGAGCAAUAAUGGGAGAAAAAAGACACAGACUAGGCUCCUCCAGGCAGACCCAUUGCUAACCAGCCUCUGAGUGCUGAAUGAGAAGGCAGACCCCCGCCAUGCCAGAUUCACCAGGUCUUUCUCCCAGUGAGAGCGAUGAUUCAGCUUCUCAUCUGGGUCCUGUGCCAGUAUAGCAUUUACUAGCAGAUGGAUAAACAGGUUUGGAAAUCCCCUCCCUGUACUAAGUGUUCUAGGUUUCCGAGUGUUUUCCCAGUUUAGGUUUUCAUGGUUGGUUCUGUUUGCUACUCAGCCAGAAUAAACAGCUCGCUUUUUUAAAAGUAGGCUCCAGAAUGGAUGAUGGGAUGUUCGCAUGUCUUUAUGUAACACUGAGUGCGCUGAACUAA